UGCUUGCUUCAACAGCAAAAUACUAAAACUGGAAUGAUACAGAGAUGACUAGCAUGGCCCCUGCACAAGUAUGACACACAAAUUCGUGAAGUAAUCCAUAUUUUU